rnacentral:rRNA from 1 species
UUUAUGGAGAGUUUGAUCCUGGCUCAGGAUGAACGCUGGCGGCGUGCCUAAUACAUGCAAGUCGAGCGAACAGAUGAGGAGCUUGCUCCUCUGACGUUAGCGGCGGACGGGUGAGUAACACGUGGGUAACCUACCUAUAAGACUGGAACAACUCCGGGAAACCGGGGCUAAUGCCGGAUAAUAUGCGGAACCGCAUGGUUCUGCAAUGAAAGACGGUUUUGCUGUCACUUAUAGAUGGACCCGCGCCGUAUUAGCUAGUUGGUAAGGUAACGGCUUACCAAGGCAACGAUACGUAGCCGACCUGAGAGGGUGAUCGGCCAAACUGGAACUGAGACACGGUCCAGACUUCUACGG